rnacentral:rRNA from 1 species
UACGUAGGGGGCAAGCGUUGUCCGGAUUUACUGGGCGUAAAGAGCGUGUAGGCGGCCAAGCAGGUCCGUUGUGAAAACUGGAGGCUUAACCUCCAGACGUCGACGGAAACCGCGUGGCUAGAGUCCGGAAGAGGAGAGUGGAAUUCCAGGUGUAGCGGUGAAAUGCGUAGAUAUCUGGAGGAACACCGGUGGCGAAGGCGGCAUCCUGGACCGGUAUUGACGCUGAGGCGCGAAAGCCAGGGGAGCAAACGGG